rnacentral:rRNA from 1 species
UACAGAGGGUGCAAGCGUUGCUCGGAAUUAUUGGGCGUAAAGGGUAGGUAGGUGGUCUCAUUUGUCUGGGGUGAAAGCCUUGAGCUUAACUCAAGAAGUGCCCCAGAAACGGUGAGACUAGAGUACUGGAGAGGGUCGUAGAAUUCCUGGUGUAGCGGUGAAAUGCGUAGAGAUCAGGAGGAAUACCAGAGGCGAAGGCGGCGACCUGGACAGUAACUGACACUCAACUACGAAAGCGUGGGGAGCAAACAGG